rfam:Oryza rufipogon genomic scaffold, chr07
UUUAAGUGCAAUCAAGAGUUUCCACACCCAACUUUAGUCGACCGGUCUUAUUUGAAAUUUUUUUUGUAAUUAGUAUUUUUUUUGUCGUUAUGAGAUGAUAAAAUAUGAAUAGUACUUUAUACCUAACUUAUGCUUUUAUUUUUUUUCAAAAAAAAUUCAAAUAAAAGGGACUAUCAAAGUUAGACACGAAAACUUAUGGCUACACUUACA